CGAGGCCAUGGAAGGGAGAGGGGCGGACGCGCUGCUGUGUGCUCGUGGUUCCUGCCUUGUGGAUCCUCGCCAUUUUCUUACCAGGUGCAGCGUGCACUGACUCACACCAGACCUGUUUUAACAGUGGAAAUUGAUGAGGUGCCUCGGAGCCGCCGACCACGAUGGGCGGGCAGACUCUUGCCAGCACGAGGACUGAGGGGGGCUAGGAAAGGUGGUGCUACGUACAACCUGCACACAUUAUUGAAAUUAAAAACGAUCAGAGUUGAUGUGCAGGCUGGGGUGACUGGCCAUCAACACUGAGGUGAAGGUGAGGUGAAGGAACAGAACUGUCCACCUUUCGGGAAGGGACGGGAGUUCGAGGUGGUGCUAACAUGCAGAUAGGAGACUUGUGCGCUAGUCAACUGAAUCACACCUUCCAACUGCACAAAGACACCCUAUCUGAGACUUUGAAGAAGUCUCCAGACCAUCUUAGACUUGGUCCUUGGAGUAUUUUCUCUCUCUCAUAACAUUGC